UGCUGGUGGCAAAGCCACAGUGAGCCCCGAGUCCGACCAUGGCCACAUCUGUCACCACCUUACUGUCACGAGGUGUGGCCCAGAGGCUGUCCCAGGAGGGGCCUUUCCCUCUCUACAGUGGGGAGAGAGCCAUCGUCAGCCAGGGCUGCCUCCUGCUCUCCCACCCCGGCACCCAACCUCGGGCAAAUAAAUAUGGCAGCUCGGCGCAUUGCACCAGAGACUCUUGACGUUGUGCUACAGGAAAAAGCGAAACGAUACCACGUAGACCCAAGUGCUGAGGCUGUCAGCGAAACCCUUCACUUGAAAGCUCCAGAUCUGUUAAGAGCAACCCCUAGAAGCAGAGCGGACAUGUAUGAGGGUGCUCCAAGUGAUGGCAGGUUGCUCAGCAGCUCUGUGCCUCACUCUCGAGAUGCUGGGCGAGAAGGCCUCAGAGGCGAUGUGUUUCCAGGACGAUCCUUCAAAUUAAGCAACCCUGCCGUCAGCGAUGACAGCUACUUUCGAAAAGAAUGUGGCCAGGGCCUGGAAUUUGCCCACCCUGACUCCCAAGACCCAGUCUUUGGUCCCAGGAAAUUGGGACAUUUCCAGUCUCAGGACUGGAAGCUGGUGGUCCGUGGCUCAUGGGAGCAGGGCCUUGGCCCCCAGGUCUCUUCAGAGCCCUCAUGGGUGCAGGAGUGCGGGUUGGGUACUCCCGCUGUGCCAGGGGACAUAACCUCCUCCAGGCGCAUGGAGAAAGAGUGUGCGGAGGAGGAGAGUCGGGAUUACAACGCGGACCCCCAAGGGAAAGAUGAUGCUGUGCCCAGGAGCCAUGGGCAAAGCCAAGCUAGAGGCCAGGAAGGUGCCCUCCUGGGAAAGGGGGAGACUGAGGAUCUACUCACAGCAAAGGGGGGUGCUGGGAAACUCACCAUUCUGAAAAGUGUGGCUACAAAAAAAGCGCCUGCUGUAAACCGCAUCCCUUCCAAACCUCAGGGCUCUCGCCAAAUCCAGAAAGCCACCCUGCGCCCCGACAUUACCCUGGGGACACACCCGGGGGUAGGGGACAUCCAUCUCCCUGUCCCUAAAGUCCCCUUGGGGCUGGACCUGAAGACCAUCCACUUCCCCGGGAGGAGGACAAGCUUUGACCUCAUAGAUAAGACCGAUGUCUUCUCAAGGUUUGGCGUGGAAAUCAUCAAGUGGGCUGGGUUCCACACAAUCAGAGAUGACGCCAGGUUCUCCCAGCUCUUCCAGACCCUCUUUGAACUGGAAACAGAGACCUGUGCAAAGACACUUGCCUCCUUUAAGUGCUCCUUGAAACCAGAGCACAGAGAUUUUUGCUUUUUUACUAUCAAAUUUUUAAAGCACUCCGCUUUGAAAACACCCCGAGUUGAUAAUGAGUUUUUAAACAUGCUUUUAGACAAAGGUGCUGUGAAGACCAAAAAUUGCUUUUUUGAGAUCAUAAAACCCUUUGAUAAGUACAUCAUGAGGCUCCAGGACCGGCUUCUGAAGAGCGUCACACCCCUGCUCAUGGCCUGCAAUGCCUACGAGCUGAGUGUCAAGAUGAAGACCCUCACCAGCCCCCUGGACCUGGCACUGGCCCUGGAGACCACCAACUCCCUCUGCCGGAAGUCUCUGGCCCUGUUGGGACAAACCUUUUCCUUGGCCUCCUCUUUCCGGCAGGAGAAAAUUUUAGAAGCAGUAGGCCUCCAAGACAUAGCGCCCUCCCCAGCUGCCUUUCCCAACUUCGAGGACUCUACUCUGUUUGGGAGAGAGUACAUGGAGCACCUGAAGGCUUGGCUGCUCACCAGCGGGUACCCCCUGCAGGUCAGGAAAGCCCCACAGCCAGCCCCAGAAGAGGAAGAGGAGGAAAGGGCCAGUCCUACAAAGUCUGACCUGCACCCCGGGACACAGAGGCCACUGAUUGAUGCUGUGCCCCCGCGUGCAGAUCACACAGUGACGGCCACCAUUGAGCAGCUGGUCAUGCGGGUGCUGGACGGCAGUCUGUCCCCCAAGGAGAGAGCCGCUCUCAAGGAGGACCCUGCAUACUGGUUUCUGGCAGAUGAGGGCAGUCUGGAAUAUAAAUACUAUGAGCUGAAGUUGUCGGAGGCCGGGCGGAGGAUCCAGGACAGGACUAGGUCCCAGCAGUCUCCCACUCCAGCUGAGUGUGCUGUGCGGGCCAUGCUGUAUGCCCGCCUUGUUCACAGCCUCAAGAAGAAGCUCCUGCCCUGCCGCCGCCGCCGGCCCCUUCGGGCCCAGGGCCACUGGGGCUGGCCAGCCGGGCGAGCCACCACCGGUACACAGACACGCCUUUCCUCCGGUGCCCGGCCAAAACCUCACAGCUGGCGGGCUCCAGGCUCCUCACAGACCAAGUCACCCCUGCCAAGUGGAAGAGACACCACCAAGGACAGCCUGCCAGGCCCCACUGGGUCUGCGCCUGCAACAUGCAGCCUUGAAGAGUCAGGCCGAGUGAGCACAGAUGUCCUGGGCACCUCUCGCACCUCCUCUCCCUGCCCAGCUGCCAACGUUGACAUGAAGACCAUGGAGACGGCAGAGAAGCUGGCCAAGUUUGUGGCUCAGGUGGGACCUGAGAUCGAGCAGUUCAGCAUAGAAAACAGCACCGACAACCCCGACCUCUGGUUUCUCCAUGACCAAAGCAGCCCUGCCUUCAAAUUCUACCGGAAUAAAGUGUUUGAGCUGUGCCCAUCUAUUUCCUUCCCGCCAACCCAUCUCCCACCUCCCACCAGCACGGGCCAUGCAGACCCCACUGGGGCCCAAGGCGAGUUGGACGAGGACCACGAGGAGGAAGAGGAGGAAGUGGGAGAGGAGGCUCCCACCCAUGGCACCUCUGGGCCCAGAGCAGGAACCAGCAGGUCUGAGGGCUCUGUGGGCAGCCCUGCUGCAGAUGGCCUCCCUGCUGAUGUGGCUGAUGAUGAGCCUGCAGGGCCUGGCUUGGUGCAGGCCUCCCCGGGCACCUGCUUGCCCCGGAAGAGGAUGAGCAGCAAGUCUCUGAAGGUCGGCAUGAUUCCGGCUCCCAAGAGGGCCUGCCUCGUGCCCGAGCCAGAAGUCCAUGAGCCCGUCCGGAUUGCUUAUGACAGGCCUCGGGGUCGACCCAUAGCUAAAAAGAAGAAACCCACGGACUUGGACUUCCCACAGCAGAAGCUCACAGGCCAGAACCUGGGCUUCCAGAUGCUGCAGAAAAUGGGCUGGAAGGAGGGCCAUGGCCUAGGCUCCAGCGGAACAGGCAUCCGAGAGCCUGUCAGCUUGGGCAUGCGCUCAGAAAGGGAGGGCCUGGGCGCCGAUGGGCCAGAGCGAACUGAGGACACAUUCGAUGUCUUCCGGCAGAGGAUGAUGCAGAUGUACCGGCACAAACGGGCCAACAAAUAGGCAGAUGAGAGCCACUGGUGACACAGACCAGGCUGCAGCAGCCAUUGCCCUUCCCCCACCACCCCGCCCGGACCUGCGGAGCCCAAGGCUGCUUCCUUCGGUUGGUUCGGGCUCGUGAGGACUGUGGCUCCCCCACCUGUGGACCCUAACGUGGAUGACCCCGGCUCAGAGGCCCCAGAAGACUGGCGUGAUGUUGCGUACAGGUUCCGUUCUGUCCCAAGUGUAAGACAUUGUGGGUGCUGUUGGUCAUUAGUUGCAAUAAACGUAGAGGAAACCCUG